rnacentral:tRNA from 1 species
CCGACCUUAGCUCAGUUGGUAGAGCGGAGGAUUGUAGAUCCUUAGGUCGCUGUUCGAAUCCGGUAGGUUGGA